UACGGAGGAUGCGAGCGUUAUCCGGAUUUAUUGGGUUUAAAGGGUGCGUAGGCGGACUGUCAAGUCAGCGGUAAAAUUGAGAGGCUCAACCUCUUCCCGCCGUUGAAACUGGCGUUCUUGAGUGGGCGAGAAGUAUGCGGAAUGCGUGGUGUAGCGGUGAAAUGCAUAGAUAUCACGCAGAACCCCGAUUGCGAAGGCAGCAUGCCGGCUUCCGACUGACGCUGAAGCACGAAAGCGUGGGGAUCGAACAGG
rnacentral:rRNA from 1 species